rnacentral:rRNA from 1 species
UGGGGACGAUACGGCGUCGAGCGGCGGACGGGUGAGUAAUGCCUGGGAAUUGCCCUGAUGUGGGGGAUAACCAUUGGAAACGAUGGCUAAUACCGCAUAAUAUCUUGGGUCAAAGAGGGGGACCUUCGGGCCUCUCGCGUCAGGAUUUGCCUAGGUGGGAUUAGCUUGUUGGUGAGGUAAUGGCUCACCAAGGCAACGAUCCCUAGCUGGUCUGAGAGGAUGAUCAGCCACACUGGAACUGAGACACGGUCCAGACUCCUACGGGAGGCAGCAGUGGGGAAUAUUGCACAAUGGGCGAAACCCUGAUGCAGCCAUGCCGCGUGUGUGAAGAAGGCCUUCGGGUUGUAAAGCACUUUCAGUCGGGAGGAAGGUAGUGUAGUUAACACCUGCAUUAUUUGACGUUACCUACAGAAGAAGCACCGGCUAACUCCGUGCCAGCAGACGCGGUAAUAA